rnacentral:antisense_RNA from 1 species
UGUCAUAGUGUUGGCUUCUAGUGCAGUGAGCCCCUUUUGCUGGAUAACACUACCUGGUAAUUUGACAUACUAGGUGGUUAGUAACUACUGACUGUCUCCAGGUUACAACACAGUUAUUACCUACUUGGGUGAAAAGAGAAGACAGGAAAUACAUUUUGGAGUUGGCUGGCAACCUGUUUACAAAGCGAUUUACAACAGUUCUUUAUUCUUAAGGGGCUAUUCUAAUAUAAGACCUCAGAGAAACAGUGCAGUGUGACAAAGGAGGAAUUUAUCAAAUGAGACAGAAAAAGCAUCAAGGCAAGCUGUGAAAUGGUGCGGUAGGAACCAAAUAGAGAGCCAAAGGAUCUCUCUGUCACUGCAGGCCCUUAGGGAUCCCAGGUGAUUCACAGAGUUUGAGAUGGACAGCUCUAGAACCUUGCUGUGCUCCGGUAACCUCAGCAGCACCUUGUUAGAAAUGCAGAAGUUCAGGCCCCACCCAAAGCUGCUAAAUCAGGAUCUGCACUCUAUCAAGAUCUCCGUCUCCGGAGGAUUCCUAGGAACAUUCCAGUUUGAGAAGCACUGCUCCAGGUCAUAUGACAGGCAAGGUCAUCUCCCGAAUGAGAGGGAGAGAGGAAAGAGUUGAAGGCAAAAAUUCAAAGAGCAAGCUAAUGAAGAACGGGUAAAAGAAUUGACAGGUGGCCACUGCCAAAAGCCCAGAAGAGGUCACAGACAAUCUGCCACCUUGCCAAUUACUUUGGAUACAAAGAUAACGAAGUGAAGCUUCUCUGCCUUCACUCUUACAUUUGGACAAAAGACUUUCUAUUACUAUGCAGUAUGCAAUGCUUUGAUUCGAGCAUCCUUAUGUAAAAAAUAAAAUAGA